rnacentral:rRNA from 1 species
GAUCAUUAACGAGUUUGAAAGGGGUUGUAGCUGGCCUUCACGGGCAUGUGCACACCCCACUCAUCCACUCUACACCUGUGCACUUACUGUGGGUUUCGAGCGGCCGUGCGGGUUCAUACUCGAGCGGUCAAUCGGGCCUACGUUUAUUACAAACUCUUCAGUAUCAGAAUGUGUAUCGCGAUGCAACGCAUCUAUAUACAACUUUCAGCAACGGAUCUCUUGGCUCUCGCAUCGAUGAAGAACGCAGCGAAAUGCGAUAAGUAAUGUGAAUUGCAGAAUUCAGUGAAUCAUCGAAUCUUUGAACGCACCUUGCGCUCCUUGGUAUUCCGAGGAGCAUGCCUGUUUGAGUGUCGUGUGAUUCUCAACCUAUAAAUCCUUGCGGUUUGUAGGCUUGGACUUGGAGGCUUUGCCGGCUUUACGGUCGGCUCCUCUCAAAUGCAUUAGCUUGAUUCCUUGCGGAUCGGCUCUCGGUGUGAUAAUUAUCUGCGCCGUGACCGUGAAGCGUUUGGCGGGCUUCUAACCGUCUCUCUGAGACACUUACUUUGACAUCUGACCUCAAAUCAGGUAGGACUACCCGCUGAACUUAAGCAUAUCAAUAAGCGGAGGAAAAGAAACUAACAAGGAUUCCCCUAGUAACUGCGAGUGAAGCGGGAAGAGCUCAAAUUUAAAAUCUGGCGGUCUUUGGCCGUCCGAGUUGUAGUCUGGAGAAGUGCUUUCCGCGCUGGACCGUGUACAAGUCUCUUGGAACAGAGCGUCAUAGAGGGUGAGAAUCCCGUCUUUGACACGGACUACCAGUGCUUUGUGAUGCGCUCUCAAAGAGUCGAGUUGUUUGGGAAUGCAGCUCAAAAUGGGUGGUAAAUUCCAUCUAAAGCUAAAUAUUGGCGAGAGACCGAUAGCGAACAAGUACCGUGAGGGAAAGAUGAAAAGCACUUUGGAAAGAGAGUUAAACAGUACGUGAAAUUGCUGAAAGGGAAACGCUUGAAGUCAGUCGCGUCGUGCGGAACUCAGCCUUGCUUUUGCUUGGUGCAUUUUCUGUACGACGGGCCAGCAUCAAUUUUGACCGUCGGAAAAGGGCCGAGGGAAUGUGGCACCUCCGGGUGUGUUAUAGCCUUCGGUCGCAUACGGCGGUUGGGAUUGAGGAUCGCAGCGCGCCGCAAGGCAGGGGUUCGCCCAC